rnacentral:rRNA from 1 species
CUGGCGGCAGGCCUAACACAUGCAAGUCGAGCGCACCCUUCGGGGCGAGCGGCGGACGGGUUAGUAACGCGUGGGAACAUACCUUUCACUACGGAAUAGCCUCGGGAAACUGAGAGUAAUACCGUAUACGCCCUUCGGGGGAAAGAUUUAUCGGUGAAAGAUUGGCCCGCGUAAGAUUAGAUAGUUGGUGGGGUAAUGGCCUACCAAGUCUACGAUCUUUAGCUGGUUUUAGAGGAUGAUCAGCAACACUGGGACUGAGACACGGCCCAGACUCCUACGGGAGGCAGCAGUGGGGAAUCUUAGACAAUGGGCGCAAGCCUGAUCUAGCCAUGCCGCGUGUGUGAUGAAGGCCUUAGGGUCGUAAAGCACUUUCGCUAGGGAUGAUAAUGACAGUACCUAGUAAAGAAACCCCGGCUAACUCCGUGCCAGCAGCCGCGGUAAUACGGAGGGGGUUAGCGUUGUUCGGAAUUACUGGGCGUAAAGCGUACGUAGGCGGAUCAGAAAGUAGGGGGUGAAAUCCCGAGGCUCAACCUCGGAACUGCCUCCUAAACUCCUGGUCUUGAGUUCGAGAGAGGUGAGUGGAAUUCCAAGUGUAGAGGUGAAAUUCGUAGAUAUUUGGAGGAACACCAGUGGCGAAGGCGGCUCACUGGCUCGAUACUGACGCUGAGGUACGAAAGUGUGGGGAGCAAACAGGAUUAGAUACCCUGGUAGUCCACACCGUAAACGAUGAAUGCCAGUCGUCGGGUAGCAUGCUAUUCGGUGACACACCUAACGGAUUAAGCAUCCG